ACACUACCUAUAAGACUGGGAUAACUUCGGGAAACCGGAGCUAAUACCGGAUAAUAUUUUGAACCGCAUGGUUCAAAAGUGAAAGACGGUCUUGCUGUCACUUAUAGAUGGAUCCGCGCUGCAUUAGCUAGUUGGUAAGGUAACGGCUUACCAAGGCAACGAUGCAUAGCCGACCUGAGAGGGUGAUCGGCCACACUGGAACUGAGACACGGUCCAG
rnacentral:rRNA from 1 species